CUUUUCAAAGAUCAAUUUUGGCACAUCCUUUAUCAAAUCCUUCUUGACUAGUUUUGAUAUUAAGUCCAUACUAGCAUGUCCUAGUCUACGAUGCCAAAGCCAACUUGUUUCAUUUUUCCUUUCUUCAUUAGUAAUUAAACUAAUCCAUUUUUCUUGCCUAACUUAUGAAGAUCUACCAUGUAAAUAUUUCUCAGCCUUUGUCCUAUAAGUACAAUGCUAUUAUCUUUAGGAUUUGUGAUUAUGCAUACUGAAGCUUCAAAUGUGACUUUAAGACCUUUAUCACAAAAUUGACUUAUGCUAAGUAGGUUAUGUUUCAGACCAUUAACUAAUAAAACAUUUUCUAUAAAGGUGGAUGGAGUAAUGUAAAUUUUACCCUUUCCAAUGAUAAGUCCUUUUCCAUUGUCUCCAUAGGUUACCACUCCACCCUUCUUAGAUUCCAAGGUGACAAAUUGUUCUAUGUCACCUGUCAUGUGUCUUGA
rnacentral:lncRNA from 1 species